rnacentral:rRNA from 1 species
UACGUAGGGUGCGAGCGUUGUCCGGAAUUAUUGGGCGUAAAGAGCUCGUAGGCGGUUUGUCGCGUCGGCCGUGAAAACUUGGGGCUUAACUCCAAGCUUGCGGUCGAUACGGGCAGACUUGAGUUCGGCAGGGGAGACUGGAAUUCCUGGUGUAGCGGUGAAAUGCGCAGAUAUCAGGAGGAACACCGGUGGCGAAGGCGGGUCUCUGGGCCGAUACUGACGCUGAGGAGCGAGAGCGUGGGGAGCGAACAGG